AUACGUAGGUGGCGAGCGUUGUCCGGAUUUACUGGGUGUAAAGGGCGAGUAGGCGGGUAAACAAGUCAGAUGUGAAAUACCGAGGCUCAACUUCGGGGCUGCAUUUGAAACUGUUUAUCUUGAGUGAUGGAGAGGCAGGCGGAAUUCCCAGUGUAGCGGUAAAAUGCAUAGAGAUUGGGAGGAACACCAGUGGCGAAGGCGGCCUGCUGGACAUCAACUGACGCUGAGGAGCGAAAGUGUGGGGAGCAAACAGGAUUAGAUACCCUGGUAGUCCACACCGUAAACGAUGGAUACUAGGUGUGCGGGGACUGACCCCCUGCGUGCCGGAGUUAACACAUUAAGUAUCCCACCUGGGGAGUACGAUCGCAAGAUUGAAACUCAAAUGAAUUGGCGGGG
rnacentral:rRNA from 1 species